rnacentral:rRNA from 1 species
UACGUAGGGGGCAAGCGUUGUCCGGAAUUACUGGGCGUAAAGGGCUUGUAGGUGGCCAACUAAGUCAGACGUGAAAUCCCUCGGCUUAACCGGGGAACUGCGUCUGAUACUGGAUGGCUAGAGUGUGAGAGAGGGAUGCGGAAUUCCAGGUGUAGCGGUGAAAUGCGUAGAUAUCUGGAGGAACACCGGUGGCGAAGGCGGCAUCCUGGACCACGACUGACGCUGAGUGAGCGAAAGCCAGGGGAGCAAACGGA